UGGGAAUCGAGGUGAAGAAAUUAAUGAAAGUCCCGCAGGGAGUGACUAGCACCCCUGAAAAUACCAUGUGGAAGUUUCUCUGUCCUGGUAAGAUUUUAUCGAUAAGAUGAGCAAUUGUUUUAUUGCUCAAAGAGGGGAAUGUAAGAAUAUUAAAUAGUUAACUUGUUUAUAUGUAUUUUAUGCUUUUAUAAGGUUUAUAACAUGAUUAUUGCUGACUGAAGGAAUAUUGAAUACUUAAAGUCAAUAUGCUGACUGUGACAGACUAAGGUAUUUCUUCUAUAGGAUGUAAGACAAUGCUAAAUCUCAGGAUGUCUUGCCCAUUCCGAUUUUAAGGAUAUUCUUUUCCAGACGUAUGCAAAAGCUUAUCUUUCCAUUGUCAGAAUAACGUAAUAUAAGGAAGUAAUAAAUCUUAUAGUCUGUACUGUAAUGAAUGACAUAUACCAUGGCUAAUGUAAGCAAACUAUGUAUAAAAGCCAGCUCUGGAAUACACUCAUUUGAGAGUCUUGUAAAGCUGUUGUCCGUGUGUUAAUGCUUACAAUGAUCCUCCAUCAACGUUGAUUAUGGUGACCGAGGGAUCGAGAACCGAGGGGAUUAGAGUCCAUUACAACAUUAACCCUUUCACUCUGC